UACGUAGGGUGCGAGCGUUUAAUCGGAAUUACUGGGCGUAAAGCGUGCGUAGGCGGUUCGUUAAGUUCGUUGUGAAAGCCCCGGGCUCAACCUGGGAAUGGCAAUGGAAACUGGCGGGCUGGAGUAUGGCAGAGGGGGUGGAAUUCCGCGUGUAGCAGUGAAAUGCGUAGAGAUGCGGAGGAACACCGAUGGCGAAGGCAGCCCCCUGGGUCGACACUGACGCUCAGGCACGAAAGCGUGGGGAGCAAACACGG
rnacentral:rRNA from 1 species